CUACAGCCAAAAUAAAAGCAUCAUUUUGUGCUGAAAUUACCAAGUCUUCUCUUCCACUGUUGUCUUUCUUUCCCUCAGAAAAGAAAAUAAAAUUUCUGACAUUUUAGGAUUCUGUGCUUAGAAUUUUAUGGGAGAGUUAACAAGGAAAAAAAAAAAUUGACUUCUCUAAAUACCAUUCCCAACAGAUAAGAGAGUCAGAGUUUGCCCCUUCCCACACAGCUCAGAAAAAGGAAUUUCAGAAGCUCAGUUACCACCCCCAAGUUACAGUCCCACUGCUGAACUACCAAAGCUGUAGAACAGAAGAAACAGCAUUAUUUAAGACCUUACUUACCCCAGCAGGGCUGAGACUUCUCCGGUGCCUUUCAGGAGACACCAGCAGAAGCAGCACAUUUCACACAGCCAAGACAGACACACAGCAAAGAGAAAGGCUGUGGUGACUAGGCCGCUCCCACAGCCAGCACCUCCAACCACACGGGAAACAAUACAAAGUCAGUGAGGUUUAAGCAUAGGUCAAGAAGAAUUUUGAAUGUUAGGGCUAUGUCCCUCUGUACAAAGCAAGAUAGCCCCAAAGGACAAGACAAUGGGGCCCAGGCUGUUAUCAGCACUGACCGCUUGCAGAGGAAGGAACCCCAGCCCAAAUAAAAUGGUGAUCAGAAGAAAUCAAACUUCUAUGGCACGUGCUCUAAAAAGGUGAAACCAGGGAGUGGUCAUGCAAAAUACUUCUUGGAAAAGUUUGAAUAUGCAUUGAACCCCCACAGCAGGAUGGGAUAAAAGGUGCGUUCCAAAGAUACCAGGUGUGCUCUUGGCAACGCACCAAGGCACCCGGCCAUUACUCUUUGCUUUAUUUUCUGUCUCUUGUUGUCUUUAUUAAACCUUUUAAAAUUUAA